ACAUCUCUUCGGAGCAUUUUACGAGGUGCUGCAUGGUUGGUCGUCAGCUCGUGCCGUGAGGUGUCGGGUUAAGUCCCAUAACGAGCGCAACCCUACCUUUAGUUGCCAUCAGGUUAAGCUGGGGACUCUAAAGGAACUGCCUACGCAAGUAGUGAGGAAGGCGGGGAUGACGUCAAAUCAGCACGGCCCUUACGUCCAGGGCUACACACGUGCUACAAUGGCCGAUACAGAGGGCAGCUACCUGGUGACAGGAUGCAAAUCUCCAAAGUCGGUCUCAGUUCGGAUCGGAGUCUGCAACCCGACUCCGUGAAGUUGGAUUCGCUAGUAAUCGCGCAUCAGCCAUGGCGCGGUGAAUACGUUCCCGGGCCUU
rnacentral:rRNA from 1 species